rnacentral:lncRNA from 1 species
UUUGAAACCCUGUCUCUAGAAAAAUUACAAAAAUUAGCAGGGCAUGGUGGUAUGUGCUGUAGUCCUAGCUACUCAGGAGGCUGAGGUGGGAGGAUCCCUUCAGCCAGGGAGGUCCAGGCUGCAGUUAGCUGUGAUCACAUCACUGCACUCAAGCCUGGGCGACAGAAUGAGACCCUGUCUCAAAAAUAAUUAAACAAAAACCAAUUACAUGUAAAUUAAGGGGCAGAUCAAUGCAAAUUGAGGUGCAGGUUAUUUAGAACUUUCUAGGAAAGGGGCGGAGGGGCAGUAACUUCCAGGUUGUUGCCAUGGAAAGGGGUGGUAACUUCCAGGUCAUUGCCAUGGCAUUUGUAAACUGUCAUGGUGCUGGCUGGAGUGUCUUAUGCCAAUGAGCAAGCUGGAAGUCACUUUCGUUGCCAUCUGCUGGUUCCUGCUGGUUUAUUUAUGUUAUCCUGUCUGGACCAGAGCUCAGACACAAGACACAGAGAAGCAAAUGUUUUUGGACUCGAUGACUUCAGUGGAUUAGCGCUCCUUUGAAAGUGAUAUUGUUACAGCCAUAACGUGUUUAUGUGUAACACAGACAUCUUCAUACAGAAUACAGAUGUGUCUGUGUGGGGAACGUUAACAUCCUGGCCUUGUCAUUUAUUAAGGUAGGAAGUUCAACCUAGGACUACAGAUCCCUAAAGUUUUGGGGAAGCUUGAUAUGGGGGAAAGAGGGGAACUGGAGAGAAGAGGGGAGAUUUCUUUAAGAGUUAUUUAUCUUCCCCCCCGCCCCUUCUAACUCUCCUGGGCCUAACUCCUACACUCUGAGAAAGGAUCCCUUUCCAACACAGCUGGGAUGGCUGUCAGGCAGAGCGUUCCUUGUUGAGGAUAGCAGUCAUCAAAAAAAGGAUCAGGCAAUUAGAAGCUGUUGGUAAAUCACAGAGACACCACAGUCACCGCAGUGAGAGUUCCAUUUUCUUUUCUUUUCCUUUUCUCUUUUUUUUUUUUUUUUUUUGAGACAGAGUCUCGCUCUGACACCCAAGCUGGAGGGCAGUGGCACGAUCUCGGCUCACUGCAACCUCCGCCUCCCGGGUUCAAGUGGUACUGGUGCCUCAGCCUCCCGGGUAGCUGGGACUGCAGGUGUGUGCCAGCAUGGCUGGCUAAUGUUUGUAUUUUUUAGUAGAGACCUACACAUUUUUAGAGGCCUAUUUUUAGCCACCACGCCCAGCCAAUUACUACAUAUUUAAUUUAAGAACUGGUACUUGUGCUGGGCAUGGAGGCUUACGCCUGUAAUCCCAGCACUUUGGGAGCCUGAGGAGGGAUCACCUGAGCCCAGGAGUUCAAGAUCCACAUUGGCAAUGCGGUGAAACCCCGUCUCUAUAAAAAGUACAAAAAUUAGCUGGGUGUGGUGGUUCACGCCUGUAGUCCCAGCUCCUUGGGAGGCUGAGGUGGGAGGAUCGCUUGAGCCUGAAAGGCAGAGGUUGUGGUGAGCCAAGGUGGUGCUACUGUACUCCAGCCUGGAGUGAGACACUGUCACAAAAAUAAAUAAAUAAGCAAACAAAAAGUAAUUAAAAAUGGCCCAGCAUGGUGGCUCACGCCUGCAAUCCCAGAACUUUGGGAGGCUGAGGUGGGCAGAUCACAGGGUCAGGAGUUUGAGACGCAGCCUGGCCAAUAUGGUGAAAUCCCGUCUCUACUAAAAAUACAAAAAAAAUUAGCUGGGUGUGGUGGCACACACCUGUAAUCCCAGCUACUCAGGAGGCUGAGGCAGGAGAAUUGCCUGAACCCAGGAGGCAGAGGUUGUGGUGAGCCGAGAUCAUGCCACUGCACUCCAGCCUGGGUGACAGAGCGAGACUCCAUCUCAAAAAAAAAAAAGUAAUUUAAAUUAAGUAAAUUAAAAAUUCAGCUCCUCAUUCACACCAGUCACACAUUUUGAGUACUCAGUAGCCACGUAUGGCUAGUGACUGUCAUAUUACACAAUGAGGCUUUAGAGGAAAUAACUAUUGUAAGUUUGAUGCAGAAUCUUCCUGCUUUUUCUUUAUGUAUCUACAUAUGA